rnacentral:rRNA from 1 species
GUGCCAGCAGCCGCGGUAACACGUAGGAGCCAAGCGUUAUCCGAAUUCACUGGGCGUAAAGCGCGUGCAGGCGGCUCGGUAAGUUGGAUGUGAAAGCUCCUGGCUCAACUGGGAGAGGACGUUCAAUACUGUCGAGCUAGAGGGUGACAGAGGGAGGUGGAAUUCCCGGUGUAGUGGUGAAAUGCGUAGAUAUCGGGAGGAACACCAGUGGCGAAAGCGGCCUCCUGGGUCGCACCUGACGCUCAGACGCGAAAGCUAGGGGAGCGAAUGGGAUUAGAAACCCUCGUAGUCC